rnacentral:rRNA from 1 species
UACGUAGGUGGCAAGCGUUGUUCGGAAUUACUGGGCGUAAAGGGCGCGUAGGCGGCCUGCUAAGUCAUACGUGAAAUCCCAUGGCUCAACCAUGGAACUGCGUGUGAUACUGGCGGGCUUGAAUUCGGGAGAGGGAUGCGGAAUUCCAGGUGUAGCGGUGAAAUGCGUAGAUAUCUGGAGGAACACCGGUGGCGAAGGCGGCAUCCUGGACCGAGAUUGACGCUGAGGCGCGAAAGCCAGGGGAGCAAACAGG